UGUGUGCAGACAUGAGACCAAGUCCU
rnacentral:piRNA from 2 species